CGGAGGAUCCAAGCGUUAUCCGGAAUCAUUGGGUUUAAAGGGUCCGUAGGCGGUUUAGUAAGUCAGUGGUGAAAGCCCAUCGCUCAACGGUGGAACGGCCAUUGAUACUGCUAGACUUGAAUUAUUAGGAAGUAACUAGAAUAUGUAGUGUAGCGGUGAAAUGCUUAGAGAUUACAUGGAAUACCAAUUGCGAAGGCAGGUUACUACUAAUGGAUUGACGCUGAUGGACGAAAGCGUGGGUAGCGAACAGGAUUAGAUACCCUGGUAGUCCACGCCGUAAACGAUGGAUACUAGCUGUUGGGAGCGAUCUCAGAGGCUAAGCGAAAGUGAUAAGUAUCCCACCUGGGGAGUACGUUCGCAAGAAUG
rnacentral:rRNA from 1 species